rnacentral:lncRNA from 1 species
AAUAAACAAGCAAAAAAAGAAAUAAAGAACUGCAACUUUACAAUCAUAAAAGCAAACAAACGGAGAUGAGCACACAUCUCGAUCUUAGAAAGCCUCUUUUAAUGGGCUCAGAUUCCUCUACACCUUUCUCGCUUCAACUUAGGCGAGAUAAAGUUGCUCAAAAUUAAUAUAGAAAUUCAUUUUUUUUUUACAAGAGAUGAGAAAAUCAAUUAACAAUGGCACUUUUUUAUACCUCAAAAAUCGAAACUCCACUUCUUAGAGUUUGCUGUUGAUGCCAUUCUGCGUCCGUGUGUCGCGCUGCAGUCGCUGCUGGUGCUUGGUUCUACGCGUGCUGGGCUCCCGGCUCGCGAGGCUGCCUGUUGCCUGCUGCAGUGAUUUUCUGACUCGCGGUGCAGCAUGCUUGGCUCGCGACGAUUGGUGGCGCCGAUGGCUGUAAGGCGUGGCUGCCGGCUGUUGACAGUUGGCAGCUCGCGGCUGGUGUGGUGACAGCAGUGUCUGCAAUGCUUAUGCUUUUGUUUUACUUGUUUGAUUUAGGGUUAGGGCAAUAGGGAAAGUGGGAAACGG